rnacentral:rRNA from 1 species
AUGGUGCUGUGCUGCAGCAACCAGGAUCUGAGUCAGAUGGGCAGGCAGUGUGAGAAAUCAGAUUGGCAGAGCAGAUUGGCAGGCAGGAAGGAGUCGGCAAUGGAUAUCCAUUUUCAGACAGAGUUAAAUAGUAGUAGUGCUGAAAGAAGUGCUCCGGGAGCACCUGAUGUUUUCCCGUGGUACGUACCAAAUACAACCUCUCGCCCCGCGACUCCUCGCCGCCACCAUCACUCUCGACGGCCGAUUCCGGUGAGUCCCGGCGGCGUGUGGCAGACCAACAACCUCCCCUCGCCCCGCUCCUUCCUCCCAUCCCUCCACAUCCGUCGCCUGAGGCCUCCCACGCUCGCUCCCGUGGCUAGGGUUUCAGGCGCGGCGUCCCAUAGCGGCUCGUCUGUCGCCCCCCCCCACCCCCCCCACGUGUGGCUCCACCUCAUGGAUGAGGUCGGCACCUACGCCCUCGCCGCGUGGCCGCUGGACGAGGGUCUGGUCCGGUACGUGCUCGAGCACCCGGGUUCGCCGCGCUCACAGGCGUCGUCUUCAAGGAAGGUCUCUGCUAUGGUAAGCUGGAAGCUGACAUCUUUGACGUUUGUUGUCCCCAUCCUUGGACAAGACUCGCUUCCUCCACGCCUUCUUGAAGAAUCAUUUUUUGUCUGUCGUGUGUUUGCAACCGCAUCGGUUCCUCGUUCAACUCUGGAAGAUGGCAGAGAAGUAGUUGUGAAAGUUCAGCAUGAUGGUAUCAAAGAGAUCAUACUAGAGGUUGCUCUCAAGGGAUUUUCCAAGACACAGCUGCGGCUAAGAAAAGGACAUGUUGAAGCAGCACCAUCCAUUGUCGUGCUCCUCGACAUUGAGAAGAAGUCACUCCAGAGUCGUCUAUGUACCACCUCCAGUGCAACUUCUUACUUAAAGAUCAAAAAAGAAAUUGAAAUGGGCGGCUGCCAACCUGGCACCGCCCAGCUUCCUCUCAGGAGGCGCCACAAGGUGGCGCCCCAACCCCUAGUGCAAUGGAAUGGGCGGGCAACUUGGGAGGGAGGCCACUUGGUUCAAAGGCAACACUGUGGCCUGAUGGAACGGCUGGUCGGGAUGAAAGGUGCUGCUCCCGUUUGUCAUCGCCGUCGUGACGACGAGUGCGGCGACAUGCCAUGUGCUGCCAGUCCAAUGGACGGCGUAUACACUAAACUUCUUUUUGCAAUCAACAGGACUACAGUGAACAUAAGCAUCAACCAUCAAUGA